GACGAACGCUGGCGGCGUGCUUAACACAUGCAAGUCGAACGGUGAAAGCGGAGCUUGCUCCGCUGGAUCAGUGGCGAACGGGUGAGUAACACGUGGGCAACCUGCCCCUCACUUCGGGAUAACUCCGGGAAACCGGGGCUAAUACCGGAUAUGACCUCCUUGGGCAUCCUUGGAGGUGGAAAGUUUUUCGGUGAGGGAUGGGCCCGCGGCCUAUCAGCUUGUUGGUGAGGUAGUGGCUCACCAAGGCGACGACGGGUAGCCGGUCUGAGAGGGCGACCGGCCACACUGGGACUGAGACACGGCCCAGACUCCUACGGGAGGCAGAAGUGGGGAAUAUUGCGCAAUGGGCGAAAGCCUGACGCAGCAACGCCGCGUGCGGGAUGACGGCCUUCGGGUUGUAAACCGCUUUCAGCAGGGAAGAAGCCGCAAGGUGACGGUACCUGCAGAAGAAGCACCGGCUAACUACGUGCCAGCAGCCGCCGUAA
rnacentral:rRNA from 1 species